rnacentral:rRNA from 1 species
GUGCCAGCCGCCGCGGUAAAACGUAGGAGGCGAGCGUUAUCCGGAUUUACUGGGUGUAAAGCGCGUGCAGGCGGUUUGGUAAGUUGGGUGUGAAAGCUCCUGGCUCAACUGGGAGAGGUCGCUCAAGACUGCCAGACUUGAGAGUGGUAGGGGAAGGUGGAAUUCCGGGUGUAGUGGUGAAAUGCGUAGAUAUCCGGAGGAACACCAGUGGCGAAGGCGGCCUUCUGGGCCACAUCUGACGCUCAGACGCGAAAGCUAGGGUAGCAAACGGGAUUAGAUACCCGUGUAGUCC